rnacentral:tRNA from 1 species
GGUGGCUCAGUGGUAGAGUGCUUGCCUCGCAAGCAUGAGGCCCUGAGUUUGAUUCCUCAGCACCA